rnacentral:tRNA from 2 species
ACAUUCUUAGCUCAAAUGGAUAGAGCAUUGGCCUUCUAAGCUAGUAGUUAUAGGUUCAAGUCCUAUAGAAUGUA